AGGACGAACGCUGGCGGCGUGCUUAACACAUGCAAGUCGAGCGGAAAGGCCUUUCGGGGUACUCGAGCGGCGAACGGGUGAGUAACACGUGAGUAAUCUGCCCAUCGCUUCAGGAUAGCCAUCGGAAACGGUGAUUAAUACUGGAUAUGACAUUCCUUCGCAUGUUGGGGUGUGGAAAGUUUUUUCGGCGGUGGAUGUGCUCGCGGCCUAUCAGCUUGUUGGUGGGGUAAUGGCCUACCAAGGCUUUGACGGGUAGCCGGCCUGAGAGGGUGACCGGCCACACUGGGACUGAGACACGGCCCAGACUCCUACGGGAGGCAGCAGUGGGGAAUAUUGGACAAUGGGCGGAAGCCUGAUCCAGCAACGCCGCGUGGGGGAUGACGGCCUUCGGUUGUAACCUCUUUCAGCACAGACGAAGUUUGUCUUUUUGGUGUAAGUGACGUAUGUGCAGAAGAAGGACCGGCCAACUACGUGCCAGCACGCCGCGGUAAUCGUGAGCGGGCGU
rnacentral:rRNA from 1 species